GGCCUGUGGUGUAGUGGUUAACACACUGGUCUUGUGAGUCGGAUUUCAUCUCCCGGCUUCAAGUUCAAAGCCAGAGACGUCGGUUCGAAUCCUUCCGGGUCCAAUUUUUGUUUU
ensembl:ncRNA Y40A1A.5 ncRNA